rnacentral:rRNA from 1 species
UACGAAGGGGGCUCGCGUUGUUCGGAAUUACUGGGCGUAAAGCGCGCGCAGGCGGUUCUUCAAGUCAGUGGUGAAAGCCCGGAGCUCAACUCCGGAACUGCCAUUGAAACUGUUGAACGUGAGUACGAGAGAGGUGAGUGGAAUUCCCAGUGGAGAGGUGAAAUGCGUAGAUAUUGGGAAGAACACCGGUGGCGAAGGCGGCUCACUGGCUCGUAACUGACGCUCAGGCGCGAUAGCGUGGGGAUCAAACAGG